GAUGAACGCUGGCGGCGUGCUUAACACAUGCAAGUCGAACGGAAAGGCCUCUUUCGGGGUUUUCUCGUGUUGCCAACGGGUGGGUAACACGUACGUAGCCUGCCUUUCUCUUUGGGUUAACUUCAGGCAACUGGGCCUAAUUCCGGCUAGAUGCUCCUUCUGCCUGGUUGGGGUUGGAAUGUUUCGGCGUCUGGCGGUGGCUUCGCGGUUUAUCCGCUCUUUGUUGGGUUGUUGGUUUACCAAGGCUUUGCCGGGUAGCCGGACUGUGAGGGUGAUCGGCGACAUUGGGACUGAGAGACGGCCCAGACUGCUAAGGGAGGGAGAAGUGGGGAAGAUUGCACAAUGGGUGGAAGCCUGAUGCAGCAAGGCCGUGUGCGGGAUGACGGCCUUCGGGUUGUAGACCGCUUUCGCUCAUGACGAAGCUUUGUGUGACGGUAGUGGGUAAAGAAGCACCGGCUAACUACGUG
rnacentral:rRNA from 1 species